AGAGAGAGACAUGCGCGCAUAUCAAUAAGCGGAGGAAAAGAAACUAACAAGGAUUCCCUUAGUAACGGCGAGUGAAGCGGGAAGAGCUCAAAUUUGAAAUCUUCAAGGUUUUACCUUGACGAAUUGUAGUUUAAAGAAGUGUUUUCUGCUGAAGUUUUGGUAAAAGUUCUUUGGAAUAGGACAUCAUAGAGGGUGAGAAUCCCGUAUUUGACCAUUAUUUUCAGCUUUGUGAUACACUUUCAAAGAGUCGGAUUGUUUGGGAAUGCAGUCCAAAAUGGGUGGUAAAUUUCAUCUAAAGCUAAAUAUUGGCGAGAGACCGAUAGCGAACAAGUACCGUGAGGGAAAGAUGAAAAGAACUUUGAAAAGAGAGUUAAACAAUACGUGAAAUUGUCAAAAGGGAAGCGUUUGACACCAGUGUUGUUUUCUCGAAAAUCAAUUAAAAAUGGCUCGAUUUUGUAUUGUUGAGACCUUAAAAGCUCACUGUACAUUUUUCGUGUCUUUUUUAAUGCACUUUUCGUUUAACAAGUCAACAUCAGUUUCUUUUGCUGUAAAAGGGUCAUUGGAAGGUGGCUUUCUUUUCGGAGAAAGUGUUUAUAGCCUUUGGCCUCUGCAAUCGGAAGAGACUGAGGUCUGCAGCGUAGACUCUUCGGGGUUAGAUACAUUUGUGCUAAGUUAUAGCUUUUUAUAGACAACUUGUUGACUAUAAUUAGUCUUGUAGCUUACUCGCUUAUGCUAUUUUACCUACGCUUAGGAUGUUGAAGAUGUAGCACAUCAU
rnacentral:rRNA from 1 species